GUGGUGGUGGCUAGGGUGGGAGCUGCGGUGAGUGUGAUGGUGGCUGUGGUGGUGGGUGUGUUGGUGGGUUUGGUAGCGGGUGUGGUGUUGGUGAUUUUAGUUGAUAAAAUCAAAGACAGAAGGAGAAGGAUGGAAGAACGGACACGAGAAAGAGAUGAAGAUCAUUGCUUGGUGGAGAUUAAUCAAUGGCUAAGUGUGAACACCUUGCAGCUAAACGUGGACAAAACUGAAACCCUGGUUAUUGCCCCUGAUGACUCCAUUCCUGGGUAAGCUUUGCAUGGUCAGGCUCCACCUGAAAUCAGCGAUCUGAUCCAGCCCUAACCCCAGCUCGGGCUCUGAGGUCUGUGGAUCAGAAUCUGCUGAUGGUUCCUCGUACUCGCUUCCGGACCAGAGGAGACCGAUCCUUCCAGGCCGUUGCUCCCAGGCUUUGGAACGAUCUUCCGCUCUCUCUGCGUUCCAUGGAGUCUGUUGACUCCUUCAAAAGGCAACUAAAGACCUUUUUAUUUGUGAAGGCUUUUGCCUAAUUCUCUUGGGGCUGUUAUGAUCGUAAAUGUGUUGUCUUGGCCUUUUAAUCUUAAACUUUGUAUGUAUCUCUUAACUGUGUUUUUAUUUUAAUUGUGAAGCGCUCUGUGACCAUGGUCUGUGAAGGGCGCUGUACAAAUAAAGUUUAAUUACUUACUUUACUUAAAUGUGUCAUUUAUUUGAAUAUAAA